UACGAGGGGGGCAAGCGUUGUUCGGAAUUAUUGGGCGUAAAGGGCGCGUAGGCGGUGCGGUAAGUCACCUGUGAAAACUCUGGGCUCAACUCAGAGCCUGCAGGCGAAACUGCCGUGCUUGAGUGUGGGAGAGGUGAGUGGAAUUCCUGGUGUAGCGGUGAAAUGCGUAGAUAUCAGGAGGAAUACCGGUGGCGAAAGCGACUCCCUGGACGGCAACUGACGCUGAGGCACGAAAGCGUGGGGAGCAAACAGG
rnacentral:rRNA from 1 species